rnacentral:lncRNA from 1 species
AGGGUACAAUGACAACCACUCACUCAUACACUGGUGACCAGAGGCUGCUAGAUGCUAGCCACCGUGAUCUAAGGAGAGCAAGAGCAGCGGCUUUGAACAUCGUUCCAACAUCUACCGGAGCAGCUAAGGCCGUGGCGCUAGUGCUCCCAAACCUCAAAGGGAAACUCAACGGAAUCGCGUUGCGUGUGCCAACUCCCAACGUCUCGGUGGUUGACUUAGUUGUGCAAGUCUCAAAGAAGACUUUUGCUGAAGAGGUUAACGCUGCCUUCAGGGAUGCAGCUGAGAAAGAG